UUGAAGAUAAGAAAAAAACAAGAUUUAAAAAAUGAAGUUAAUUUAGAAGCAAAACAAGACAAAAAUAAAAUUGAAGAUAAAUUGAAACCCAAAAGAUGCUUUAAACCACUUUGGGGUGAAAAAAUAAAUUAAGAAGCUGGUUGUUUUAAAAACGCCAGAUUAAGUCUGCUUCAAGCAGAAGAAAAUACGAAGAAACAAAGAAUUUAUUUAAAAAGAAGUGAUUUUUAGAAAAGAAAAUAUUAGAAACACAAAGUUUGGGAAGAUUUUCAAGACAGGAGACUGAGAAGAGAGAAGGUUGUGUUGUUGGUUUUUUUUUUUUUUGGUAAUAUUAGAAGUCAGAAGGUAACUUAGAAGAGGACCCAGGAAAAAAGAAGAGAGAAGGGGAGUUGCAUUUUAAAGAUGACCAAAAUAUAUAUCUAUAUAUAGUAGAUGGGUAACUGUGCCCUUACAGAUUAGUUAAAAAAUGUGAAGACAGGAGGGUGAAAAAGACUUACAUUGAUACUUGUAAAAUCUAAGGAGUAAUAUUUGCUGAAGAAUUUAAUCUCUUAAUGCAAACUAGCUCAGUUUUUGUCAUAAAAAUCAAAAUUACAAAUUCGUAGCAUACUAUAACUAUUAAUUCAAAGGACUUUGUGUAUGAAAAUUAUUUCAAGAUCAAGAAUAAUGUAUUUUUUGUGUUGGACUAAGUGGAAAAAAUGUGUCUUGGGCUAAAACGUUUAAAAAAAAAUAGCUGACAAGGGACUAGAAUAAAAUCAGCUAUUUUACAUCUGAUGCAUUGACCAAGGUGGAAUGUGGAUUCAGUGAAGCUAGAAAGACAGGAUUUCAAGGAGCCAGUGCAAAUUGGUGAAGUUAGAGGGGAAAAAAGAGCCGGUGCACAAAUUGGUGAAACUAGAGGAAAAAGAAUCACGGAAAACAAGAUCAAGCAAGAAAUUUUUGAAAGAAUAGAUUAGAGGCUUCUAGAUCAAGAUUCCUUUGUGAAAGGCAGAAGUGGAAAAAUGAGUGAAGACAGCACUAAUUUAACCUGUAGUUGGUAACCUACUUUCUCCUUGAUUUCGUUAAAAAACUAUUUUCUUUGCUAUAUUCUUUAUUAAUAGUAAUUUGUAAAAGUGCCUAUUGUUAUGAGAGGGGGUUUGUUGGAGUGGGUCAAGUCGUGGUGUGUCGUAGGUUUUUCUCUUUGCAGGCUUUUUUACUCAUUGCAUCUUGUCUGGAAGCUAAUGGGCAGUCUGCCAAGGCCUGGAGAGUGUGGUCAUCUUCCCGAGUGUUUAGAAAACUUCUGGAAUUUUCCUUUCGGCUUUAGGAGUGAGUUGUAGCUAGCGUCUGUAUUGCUGUAACCCUACCCAAAUUGGGGAAGUCGUGAGCCUGGUGGAGCGACAAGCAUCUCUGGUGACAGUGAAGUGUAAGCAAAUCACAUAUAAUUUUUUUUAAAAGAUUAUUGCCAAACAAAAGAACAAACUUGUUUGUUCACGUCUUAAAAUAUUGUAGGUAAUGUAUUAUUCCCCAUGUAUCCUUGGUGUUCCUAGCAAGAGAAAAUAAAUGUAUUUUUGUCAUGCAUUCUAGUGGGAAGGGAAAAGGCUGCUGUUAGUCUUGCUCAAAGUGUAUUUUUUUUUCUUGGAAGGGAGGGGAAGGGGACCAGAAACUUCUUCAGUGUUUUUCCCCCCUAGGUGUGUCUUAGAUCCUAGAGCCAGACGACUGGAGAGGUGACAAUGUAAAGGAUAAAAGAGAACCAGUAAUCAGGAUAAAGCCUCUAUUGUAUUGAUGAUGGCAGUGGUUUAGAAAUGUGAUUGACCGGUAUUGCAGCUGUAGAUAUCAAUUGAAGUGUGUGAAGAAACGGGCCAGACAGAGGGAAAUGCAAGUUAAUUAUAUUCUAUUUUUAUAAGUUUGGAUUCUUCAUAAAGUAAUUUGCACAUUUUAAUUAUCAAACUAUAAAGAUACUCUUUUUUUUGGGAGAGGGAAACAUUUUUGUGUAUGUUGAAAAGGGUGGUGGUGGGUAGGGGUAAAAACAAGCUUGUUUCUAGACUCUUUGCAGAUACUAUAGUUCCUAUUGGCUUGGUUAGAAGUGUGGUGGUUCUAUCUACUGUGCUGUUGGGAGAACAUUCCCCAGAGUCGGAGCAGCUUUUGCCUUGGAAGAAAGGACAGUUUACCUAAAAUGGAGUUGGAAAGUUGGAUUGGAGCUUAUAUUCAGGAUUCAUGGUCGUUCAGUCAUCCUCUAAGGCGAAUUUAAGAAGAGCUUGGCUAGUCCAGAACUUGACAGUUAAGUUUUCUCCAGUAAACAAACAAAACAGACAGUUAUGUGUGUUGGGGUGGAAUUUUAGGUGUAGUUUUAUAUGGCUUGACAUAUUUGCGGGGGUGGGGCAACAUAAUCGUCUAUAUGUUCUUCAGAUUCUCUCCCUAAACUGCAGAAACAUCCAUAACCUUAGGACUGAAAAAAAGAAUGUUCAGCUUCAAUCGUGGCAAGUAAUUCUCAUAAUGUAGCUUUAAAUUGUUCUUGAGGAGGUGCCCUAUUGAGUAAUCGGGAAUGUUCACACACAGCUCAUAUGCAUGUGUAUAUACUUACAGAAAGCACACACAAUGCUAGAAAGAGAAUAGACAAGGUUAAAACUGUAACCCAGACUAACACAAAGUAGCUUGUUUAAUUUUUUUUUUCCCUGUAGCAUAAAACUUACUGAAAAUACUCUCUCAGAAGUGGAAAGCUUCCACUAGUCCAAAUUAACAUGGACUACAGAUAAAACACAUAUUCAAAUCCUUCUGUAACUGUUAGGGUUGUGGUGUCUAGAUGCAUAUUCUGGUGCAUAUAUGUAUUUGGGGGAAUAGGUUUGAAAACUUGGAUAUGGUGGUGUGUGGCUUUUUCUUCUUUUGGCAUUUUUUUCCAGGUGCUUAAUAUAACUUAAUGCUACUGUAGAGACUUCAGAGAGAAAGAAGUUGCUUAAUGACCCUGGUGUGAUUCCUUCUGAUGGUAGCUUGUGUAUUUUUCAAACAUUUUUCAGAUCCGCCAUCAGAAUCAUAGCCGCCAUCAGAAUCAUAGCCCCAACGAGCCCUGAGAAAAUAUGGCCUCAUAAAUGCAGAGGGAACAGCUUGGCGAAUGAUAAGUAAAGGCAGAAAAGAUUCUAAUGUUCCUUACUACUUGAUGGAAAAGGAUCCCAGAUGUUAACAAGUGAAAAUCCAAUGUGUCAACGGAAAAAAAAAAAGCCAUAAGCAAUGAAACUGAAAAAUUUGAAGUAAUAAGCAUUGACUAUCAAAUAUCUGAUCAGAAUAUUUGCUCUAAGAAAUCUCAAAAUUAUAUGCAGUGAAGAGCAAAUGUCCUCCUUGAAAUAAUAAUUUAAUUAAAGCAGUGAACAACUACUUCCACAUCAUUGGAAUUAAAUUGAAAGAAAAUACCGGCAGAAAAAAUGCAUAUGCAAAUACAUAUGGCUUCUACCAAACUAUUUGGUAUGAAUAUUACUACCUAAAUCUUAUGGAUUUGAAGAAAGAAUAUGAAUUAUUUUGAAACCACAAUCUAAUUUGGGAUCAACUUUCACUACUGUUGGAUUUGAGAGGAGGCUUGUGCUGUGUUCCACUGUUUACCUGAGACAGGUUUUCUGCACUAUUAAUGAGGAGUUUUGCUUCAUUUCAUCUGGGAGCUGAAAAAAACAAGCAGGCAUCUAUUACAGAUAAGUUUAUCAAUUAUAUCCGCAGAUAUUGCAUGUUAGGGAAAUAUACUUUUUAAAUGCUAUGAAGCAGUGGAAGCCUUUAAACAUCUGAACUGGCAUUUCCCAUUCCCAGCUUUUAGCAGUGUGUGGAAUGGGUAUAAGGGACUUAACCUACCCCUAUGCCAAUUCAGGGCUGCACUUCCACUUUCUAAAUCCCUUUGCCCUCUGUGCACAGGCCACAGUUGGAUUUGCCCAUCACCUACAGGCAGACAAGCAUAGCAGCUAUGCUGUGGUGCUUAGGAGCAAACAUGCAAUGUAUAUCCUCCUUUGGAGGCUGAGCCUACUCUGGGCCUACAGUUUGAGAGCCUGAAAUGCUAUACCAAACAGCACAUCAUGCUGCCAAAAAAACCACCAUAUUUUUCUGCUAUUUUGUAGCAUUAAAAUAUAUGCAGAAAACAUGGGAUUUAAAAAACAAAAGGCUAUAAAGGCACUUGUUAAUAAAGUUACUGAUGUGCUCCAAGAAUAGACAGUUUGUCUCAUUUUUAUUAAUAAAAAUGUGCUGUCAAUGUUCUUUGUGUGUGGUUAGCUCUGGGGCAGUGUGUUGGGGGGGAUUCUUCUUUAAUCUUUCAGAAUCUUUCUCCAAGAACACCUGAUCUUAAUUGGACGGGAGCAGGAAUUGAACAGAAGACUGAAAUACUUUUUUUAUUCAGGCAGGAAAGUCUUUGCAGAAUCUUUUCCUUCCCUCCCUCUCCACCCCUCCAUCGAGACAAAUGUAGAUCAAGGUACUUGGCAAUAGAAGUCCUGUAAUUAAGGAAAGUAUCUGCCCAAGGAAUGAUUUCUAAAAUGCUUUAAACUAGACCAUUGGGGGCAAAACGUACCAAUUGGAGUAAGUUCAUAACAGGUAAAAUUUUGGCAAUAAGACUUGCUCUGUCUCCAGAGCUAAAGUCGUCUUAAAAUUAAAACCGACUGACUUAUAGUUGGGAGAACUUUUAACUGCACAAUAAUUUUGUUAAAUUUAACACUAGUCAGUUUGCAUAUUUUGAAAUUUGCAUGCUAACAAUGCUUGCAACCAUUUCCUUCAGUGCUAGUGACGUCUCAUUUUCUACUUCCAAUUAACAUUAGUGGGGGAAAUGGGCAAUUUUUUUUUAAGUAUCUUCCUUUGUAGAAGCUUCAUUUCAUAAUGUAUAGACCCUGAUCCAUCCCUUCAUGAAGCUGUUGAGGAUGAUUUUGCUUGACAUGCCUUGGCGCUUUCUUCUAUUCCCCACACCUUUGUGUGUGUAUGUGAAGGCCCCUGCAGUGAGUUAAACCAAUGUAUCUUCAAACAUUAACAGCAUUUUUUUUUUAAUAUCUGGACUGUGGCUGGGGUAGGGUGGGAGGGGCUCACAACUUUGUUCUAGCUUUUCUUUUUACAGACUUUCGCAGAGAAUGCAGUGUCUGAAGCAGGUCUGGUCUGUUGGCAAGUAAUGUGCAGUAUGCUUGAUCUGCUUGGGUAGAGCAUUUGAAUCGAUUGAAAUACGUGUCCCAAAGCUUGUCCAUGUGUGGAGUAGUGAUUGUUUGAAAGAAAAAAAUACAGCUGAAUGACACAAGUGCCUGUGUAUUGAAAGGAGCUCUUUACCCUUCGAGUAAAAUUUGCUGCAGCUUUAAGCAGUCGGUGUUUGUGACUGAGAUCCAAGUUCCUUUGGCUGUGCUGCUUUAUUUAGGUAACUGCUUUUUGUUGUUCCCUUUCUGAAGUGGAUGGGGGUAGGGGGAGGGGGUACUGAAGCCUUUAGUCUCUUCCAGAUACAUCUAAAACAUCUCAUUGACAAGAAAUAAAAGCUUCCAAACAAGCAACAAUCCUCCAGGAAACUAACUGGCAAGUGACAUUUUAAAUUCCACCAGUUUAGUGACCAUUUUCGGUACUUUGCUUUUUGUAUGGGUCUCUUCCUUUCUUGGUUUUUUAACAGUUCUUUUCAAGAAAAUACCAAACAAGCCAGUUCUUCAUGAUGGGCCACAGAAGCCAACCCAGUAAGAAUAGUUCUUAAUUUACUGUAGAACAAAAAAUUUAAUUCAUUUUCAUGGAGUUUACUGGGAAUUUGGGGGGGGGAAGGAGGGAGUGCAACCUAGUUUUAAGAUUACUUUUCACAGACCUGUAGAAGGAGCAGCCAGACCCAAUGAAUUGAAAAUACCACAGUGGACAAAAAGCAAACAGGUGAAUAAACUUUUCUGUAUUUACCAUAAAGAUAAAAAGAUUAAAAAACAUUGGAAUCUCCUCCCCACCCCACCCACAAUUUAAAAAAAAAAAAGAGGGGAAAUAAUUAACUUUUAUCCAGCUUUAUGCUGCAGUUGCACCAAUUUAAAAUGAGAGACUGUAUCUUUGAAUCUUUUUAGGGAUGUGGGUGGGGGAAAAUGGGUUGAGACCUCUUCUGCUUAAGACUUUUGCAGGUGUCCCCAUUUAAAGACAGAAAAGGCUUUUAAAAAGUAGGAGAACCAUGGACCUUUACAGACAUCUUGUGACAAAACUGACAUGACGACAAAGCAGUUACAUCAAGGUCACUCUUAAAAUUACAUGAGUUUAUUGAAGGCAAUGGGGUUGCACUUGUAAUAUAAAUCUUGCAUAUACUGAGGAUAUGUGCCUCAAAAGAUGCUCUUUGCAUUACCUAUAUAUUGAGCAAGUUAAUACAUUACUUUAAAAGUAAUGUUGAGUACCUUUUGUGUACUUAUAGCCAUGUUAUCACUUCAUGUAACGCCCCCAUUUAAAAACACUAAUUUGCAGCUCAUGGCUUAAUACUUUAAAAUGAUGUAAAUACUUAAGGGAGGGGGAGGCGGGGAUAAACCACAACCAGUUUUCGCUAGACUUUUUUUCCAGAAACCUGCUAUUCAGUACGUAGUUCAGACUACACACAGCGCUUUUCCUCUUGCUUCAGCUGGUAGCAUGGAUCGUUGUCACUGGUAUGCAGUUUUCUCUUAAGGUAAAAUUCUAAAAUGUAAGUCUACAAAAAAUUGGGAUAAUAUACUUUGCCUGGAACUCUCCUAACUUUGGAAGCUAACAUCACAUUUAAAAAAUGUAAUGAUGCUUAUUAUAAACUUACUAAAAUAGUUUUACCUUCAAAUAACACUCAGAAUAAUAUUGACAGGCAAAACUGUCCCAAAACUAAAUAGUAAAUCUAGACAUAACAGAUGGCAAAAUACUUAAUUAAAAACCAAAAACCAAAACAACCUAACAGUGCUUUGGAAGAAUGUUAGGGGGUGGGUUACCCGCCAUACUGUCUGUAAAUAAACAAUUAGAAAGUAAAUUUCAACUGUCUUGUGAGGUGGCUUUUGGGAGGGCUUUUGCAACUCUCUGCUAAGACUUUUUCAGGUGUCCUAACAAACUCGAAAUAAGUGAUUUGUCAGAAGUAGAAGCUUAGAUGAAGCAGAUUUCUUCAGUGCUCUUUCAAGGUUUUUCUUUUCCUGAGAGAACAAUCUGUUCUCUCAGGUUUUGCUUUUCACCUUUUAUUAUAUUAACAAAAAAAGCAAAAGAUGCUGGUGGUUGGCACUCCUGGUUUCCAGGAUGGGGUUCAAAUCCCUACAGUGUCUUUGCUUUCUUAUAGCAUAGAGGUGUAAAUACAGACCAGUUCAGUGUGGGUUUUCCUAGGUGAGAGUAACUUUUUCAUGGGGAAAUUAGAGCUGUUUGCCUGGACAGACAGUACUUGGAUAAUAUUUUGCACUUACACUUUAUCUGUAGGUCAUAGAGCAGUUCACAAUGGUGGGAGUAACUCUUCACCUUUUACAACAUGGGAAACAGAUGCAGAGAGGACAGUUAACACAGCCAGUCAGUGACAGAGCUGUGACUUGAACCCAGGAGUCCUAAUUGACAAUCCUCUCACUAGGGCAGUGGUUUGCUACCUUUUUUCAUUUGCCGACCCCUAUAUUUUUUUGCCUUUUGGAAUCUUAGACCAGAGGUUGAAAAUCACAGAUCUAAUGGACACAGUGUCCUGCUGUGAAAAUUACAAUAGCCUUUUACAGUCCCUGACCAGCCACCCUGAACAACAACUUGUUCAUGCAGAAACCAGUUUCUUGUUGACAGCAUUAAAUAAUUUGCCUUGCUUCUAAACCAGCUUCCUACUGGCAGGUGUUUGGCACCACAAGCAUGGUAAUGAACAACUGCAGAAACUCAUUGAAAUCUUAGCGAGUGUAGCAAUAAAUGUCUGCCGGCCUUCUAAAAAGUUUUAAUUUAACUGCAUCGAGGGCUGACUAGUCUAACCGGGUUGCUUUCAACAGCUAUUACUUAACUUCAUUGCAAUGUGUUAGAAGUUAUGAGGGUUUUAGCUUGUGAUGGAGAUGGAAUCUCUUGCUGCCUUGUACAACUUAUUUGUACUUCAUCCAUUUCACUAUAUGGGGAUUUAAACAAUAAAUAAAUCUGGAAUACAA